UCCACGCCGUAAACGAUGUCUACUAGGUUGUGGAGGUUCUGACGCCGUCACGGCCGAAGCAAAAGUGCUAAGUAGACCGCCUGGGGAGUACGGCCGCAAGGCUAAAACUCAAAGGAAUUGACGGGGGCUCACACAAGCGGUGGAGCAUGUGGAUCAAUUCGAAGCAACGCGUAGAACCUUACCUGGGUUUGACAUGCUUGGAUGCUUGCCGGGAAACCGGUUAAGCUGCCCUUCGGGGUGAAACUUGCACAGGUGCUGCAUGGCUGUCGUCAGCUCGUGUUGUGAGAUGUCGGGUUAAGU
rnacentral:rRNA from 1 species